UCAUCUGUAUUGUAGGGAAGUCAGCUUUGUGCUUGCUCUAUAGCAGUGACUUACCAGUGAGUAGGCUUAUUGGUAAGCUGUCUUGCUCAGGCUAGGUUGAUCUGGGCAGAGUUAGUCCUGGGGGCGGGACUAGACCAGGGGCUUUUUGAUGUACCUGUUUUCAUAUAAUAUUACAUAUUAUCACUCUUACAUUUAACCAAAGAGAAUAAGUGAACUGUUUCAAAGCAGAGAAGUCUCAAGUAUUUGGGAAAGAGCUGUCAGCUAUUUUAAAGGUUUAAAACUGGUAACAUUUGUGAGAAGAUUUUUGCUAAUGAGAAAAGGAAAUACAGAGACUUUAAUGUGAUUUUCUGAACUCACAGUCUUUCCUGUGUGUUCAUCUUGUCUCUCAGACCAGAAUGUUUUCUCAACUACUAUGUGGUGACAGCUGUAUCGUAAAGAUAUCCGGGAUUUCUUCAUUUGUCUUUGCCAAUAUGAAAGGUGGGGUAGGGUGGCAAGUAGGACCAAACCUGAGCUGCAAGGGUUGGAAAAUUGUAGCUGUGAGUGGGAACAGCUUAGGCAGAUAGAAAUGGGGGACAUAGAGGAGUGUAGUGCUUCCUGUUUUUAUUCCAUACUGCUGGGCUUGCCCUGUUUGCUCUAAAUUUAAGAUUAGUUGAGACUUCCCCUUCCUGCCCUCCCCCGCCCCCAACCCCCCGCCAAAAAUACAAGCAGUCCAGAACAGAAUAUGUUCCCACCCAUUAUUUGUCAGGAGAACUUUAGUGUCCUUUGGUCUUAAAGCAUGUGCUCAGUUACCCUCUCUCUUCCAAUACUCAGGUGACUAGUUCUCCUUAUCUUUCUUUUAACACUAACUUUGUUUCUGGUGAACCUGAAUCUAGACUGAUCCCUUCAUCAGAUUGCAGACACCUCUAUCUGGGUUAAACAGUCUUCUUAAACAUCCCACAAAUAAACCUGCAUUUUCCUCUAAGGAGAGUAUUAAGUUAAAGAGGCUUGAGCUUCCUUCCUUUUCAAGUGGCUAUCUUAAUCAGGACAGUCCUUAUAUUUACCUCAGUGCACAAAUUCAAAUAAUGAUAAACGCAGUAUUGCUUUCCUACAUUGUCUCAAGGGGAAGGACGAAACUGUUGAUAAAUAUGUAAGUACAGGGAAGGUAUUAUUUUCAUAAGAAUCUUGUGAUACCAUUCUUGGGCAUAUUUGGUCUAGCACUCACAAGUCAAUGUCCUUUAGUAUGGUACAAUGGCUGGGGUUAAAAAUGGAUCAGACUAGUUUAGAAUCACAGUUAUUAUAGUUUAAAAGUGGUUCUCAAACUUGGUUGCAUAUUGGAAGCACCUGGGGUAGCUUUUGAAAAAUAAGAGUUCCUAGACCCCCACUCCCAGAGAUUCUGAUUCAAUAACAACUGACGUGGAUUUGAGUCAGUAAAAGCUCUUAUUUGUCCGUAGUAGUGACUCAAUCUCUAGCAUACUCCAAAUCUCAAUUGCUACUUCAUUUCAGGUACUGUUAAAACCAGAGCUCUUUAUCCCGUUUUUGUUGGUUUGCAGUUAUUCUGGAAAGAUGGAUAUAUGAUUACAUCUAUUUAUUGAGCAUUCAGUUUUGCAAUGCAACAGCUAUGUAACCAGAGAUGAUCUUUGUCACUGGAGAGCAAUCAAGUACCUCUCUCAAAAAAAAA
ensembl:lncRNA